CGGGAGGCAGCAGUAGGGAAUCUUCCACAAUGGACGAAAGUCUGAUGGAGCAACGCCGCGUGAGUGAUGAAGGUUUUCGGAUCGUAAAACUCUGUUGUUAAAGAAGAACAAGUGUUAGAGUAACUGUUAACACUUUGACGGUAUUUAACCAGAAAGCCACGGCUAACUACGUGCCAGCAGCCGCGGUAAUACGUAGGUGGCAAGCGUUGUCCGGAUUUAUUGGGCGUAAAGCGAGCGCAGGCGGUUUUGUAAGUCUGCUGUGAAAGCCCUCAGCUCAACUGAGGAAGUGCAGUGGAAACUACAAAACUUGAGUACAGAAGAGGAAAGUGGAACUCCAUGUGUAGCGGUGAAAUGCGUAGAUAUAUGGAAGAACACCAGUGGCGAAGGCGGCUUUCUGGUCUGUUACUGACGCUGAGGCUCGAAAGCAUGGGUAGCGAAACAGGAUUAGAUACCCUGGUAGUCCAUGCCGUAAACGAUGAAUACUAGGUGUUGGAGGGUUUCCGCCCUUCAGUGCCGCAGCUAACGCAUUAAGUAUUCCGCCUGGGGAGUACGACCGCAAGGUUGAAACUCAAAGGAAUUGACGGGGGCCCGCACAAGUGGUGGAGCAUGUGGUUUAAUUCGAUGCUACGCGAAGAACCUUACCAGCUCUUGACAUCUUCUGCCAACCCAAGAGAUUGGGCGUUCCCUUCGGGGACAGAAUGACAGGUGGUGCAUGGUUGUCGUCAGCUCGUGUCGUGAGAUGUUGGGUUAAGUCCCGCAACGAGCGCAACCCUUAUUAUUAGUUGCCAGCAUUUAGUUGGGCACUCUAGUGAGACUGCCGGUGAUAAACCGGAGGAAGGUGGGGACGACGUCAAAUCAUCAUGCCCCUUAUGAGCUGGGCUACACACGUGCUACAAUGGAUGGUACAACGAGUCGCGAAACCGCGAGGUCAAGCUAAUCUCUUAAAGCCAUUCUCAGUUCGGAUUGCAGGCUGCAACUCGCCUGCAUGAAGUUGGAAUCACUAGUAAUCGUGGAUCAGCAUGCCACGGUGAAUACGUUCCCGGGCCUUGUACAGCACC
rnacentral:rRNA from 2 species